AAAGACGGCAAGGAAUAUUUUAGCAGAGAGCAUCCAUCCUCUUUUGUUGUCGGUUUGAAUAUCUGAGCUCAUGAAGGCGUUAUUGUGUCUCUCUGGCAACUAAGAACAUUUAUUAGAAGUCAUUUAGUCACAGCUCAAUAAUCAUUUGUAACCAAACCAAAUGAUAACAUUUACCUAGAGCGUGCCAUGUGUUUUACUGUAUUUUACUAGUGUUACAUAUUGUUUUACUUUAUGCACAAAUGGUUGAUAUUGUGAUUCUAUGAAUGUGUUUUAUUUUAUUGUUUUAGAGUCAGAGGAAAAUUUCCACCUUGAUAAAUUAAAUAGUUUCAUCUUAUUUUUUCUUAUAUAUAGAAUCAAUAUAAGACUCUACCAACAAAAAGUUGCUCAGAAUACAUAUGGCACCAUAAAAGCAAAAAUGUCCUGUCCUGCUUCAGCUGCACUCUGCUGAUUAUAAUAGAAUAGGGAAUUAUGAGAACACCAAUUUAAUUUCAUAACAUAACACAGCAAAAGGCAUACUACAUAUAAUUUGAAAUAAAACUAAAUACAAGACACAUACACACUAAUUAACACUAAAAAAUGACAGAAAUUAUGCGAAUAUCUUACCUGGGCCUGUGAUCUACCUGCUUGGUUUUUCAUUUUACAUCUGGAAGAAAAUAUACAGGGUUUCCCCCAGUGUAUUAUAGGCCUGGCGGCCCGCCAUGCUUUACUAGCCCCACCGCCAGGCUAAGCCUUUCUUGCUUAUGUUUCUGUAACCCACAUGAGACAGAGGUUAAGGAGGCUGGGUGGUCUACCUGGCCAAUAGGAAGUUUAGUUUCCAGAGCGUCUGAACCAAUCAGAAUGCAGACUGCCGUUGUGGGUCCCGCCCUUCUCCCCCGGGUCUGCAGUACUGUUGGUUUGCCCUAGAGUUCCGACGUAAUGAGACAGCUGAGCUGUGCAGCGCCAGCGUAUGUAUUGUGACAGUUAAAGUAUUUCGUACGAACUGUAUUAUUUACAAACUGUAUUAUAAACUAACUCUUUUGUAAAUAGAUUUUCUGUUGAUCGUCCAGCUUCUGGGCUGGAAAUGAUUUAUUAAGUAUAAAGACUAAACUUCAGUUUUCUGCUGUUAGAGCCGUUAGGAACCGUUAGCUCCUUCUGGCAGUUGGUUCAUCUUGUUCUCCGUUCAGUUAAAGGUAAAAUUUAGGCUAUAACCUAUUUUUGCUUUAUUAAGUUUAUAUUAUUUAGGUCAAAUAUGCCUUGUUACACCGUCUAGUGCCCCACGCAGCCGGACUGAGAGACACUAUACAGUUGUCUGAGGCGUGUCGCAUUGAGAUCGGUCAGGUUUUUUUAUUUAUGCUGGAUUGUUCCUGAAGUGGAUCCUCCUUUGACCUUGAUGGCGAGCCUUCCCACCUGGACCUAAAGAAAGAACCAGAUUUCGUCUGUCCCAUUUGGAGUCCUGCUGCACCCUGCGGUGUGGUAGGCGUGUAACACACAUCUUCACACACAGUUGGUUAUAUAUGAGACCACCGACUGACAUUCUCCAUUCUUAUUGUUUUUUUUUAUUUUGGACAAUACAUUUUGGACCAAUUUUAUUUCAUACAUUAUAACAUACUGCUGUGGUGGAAAUUCUCCUCUGUGAACGAUGUCGAGUUAACUCAAUUUGGAAAUGAAUUUAAUUAAUCUGUUGACUAAUAUAAUUUAGAGUGCAGAUUACUAGGGUGCACCCAAAAUAUUUGAAUCUAAGAGAUAGCACUUGGCCAAGUAAUAUUGUCAUUAUUUUAUGUAUUUUAUUGUGUGUAAUUUUAUUUUCAUAAUUGUGUGUUUUGUGCAACUGUCAAUUGUAUGUUUUAUGUCACUAAAGCCAGUUCUUUAGAUACAUCCAACUGCCUUUGUGUGUCAUUUAAACACUCCACUGUGCUCCGAUAGCCGAACCUAUUGGCUCAUUUAUCUAAUAUAUAUAUACCACCCUUCUCUACUGUGUUACAUUUCUAUAAAAUUUUUUUUUUUAAAUUGCUUUUUAUUUUUUUCUUUCUUUUUUUUUUUUAAGCCAGAUUGCAAGCGUCUCUGUUGCUCUGAGCGUUUCAUUGGCGGGGCAGGAUUAUUCCUAAAAGAUAGGUUUAUAGAAGAUAGGUUUAUAAUUGAUGCAUUUAUAUCGCCUCUGCCCGUUGCCUCGCGCGCUGCAGCAUUUGGAUGCCUCAGCACGGAUCGCGCGCGCCUCCUUUCACUCAAACUGGACACAGGCACUGGACACACUGUAUGGAUAUUUACAUCAACCCCAUGUGAGGAAUUAUGAUUCUUUCCAGAUUUUCUGAUAAAGGUAGGAGUUUAAACCCCACCGCGUUAGCUCGGGUUGCGCAUUUCUACGUGAACCGCAGGAAUAACUUGUAGUCGCGCUUUCAGAGGUGCGUUGAGCGAGCGGUGAGAAUGAUUCAUAUUUGUGGACCAAGAAUUUUGUGCGGCUUUUCCUUCUCAACAUGCUGCCCAGCUCCCGGCUCUGUCUGGGCUGAUAAAGUUUAUGUAGCUAUGUGUUCCCGGUUGGCCGGAGUUCUGACUAUCAGUGCUACCUGGUCAGAUUUUCCUACCGUAGCACGGAUAGAUGGCUAAGUCUAUCUGUCAGUGCUACGCGCCCAAAGCUCCUACCGUCAUGUUUACAAACAGAAAACUAUAGCGGGUUGUGUUAAUGUUAAAUAUAUUGGAUAACAUUAUUUGAGUGACGGGACUGAAGUGGAAGCUUAGGAGUUAUGCUUGCCUUAGCGUUGGAACAAUUUAUGAUGAAACCACAAGAAGAUCACUAACUUCAUCUGAAUAUUCUACCCGUUUAAAAUGAAAAGCUGUAAUGUGCACUAAUCCUUUUAGUAGAAUAUCCUACCUGUUAAAAAUAUUUUAAAUACAGAGGCGUUUGUAAGAAUAAAACAGUAUCAGAGAGGGGGAACAGGUUUUUUAUUGGAAUUAAAUUAAAGACAAAUACAGAUCACCGCAACACUUUCUUGUGGAUUAAUCCGUUGUAUGACAGACUUGAUUAAAUGCAGCGCAGCCACAAUGUGUUCACCGAACUGCGCAGGUCACUGUGCACCUGAAAUGAUAGGAUAUGAUUAAUAUACACUAAUAUUACACGGCUAUUGCACAGCUUCAAUCAUAGUAUCGCUACCAACAUCUAUUUAGCAAGGUUUAGUAA